GCUGGAUGUGGUGGUGCGCACCCGCAGUCCCAGCUACUUGGGAGGCUGACGUGGGGGGAUCACUUGAGCCCAGGAGUUUGAGGCUGCAGUGAGUGUGAUGACACCACUGCACUCCAGCCUGGGCAACAGAGUGAGACCUUGUCUCUA
rnacentral:SRP_RNA from 1 species